AUUCCAAGUACACAAAAAUGAUAAAUAAAAUACGGAAAGUGUACAAAUCUGCCGAAAAAAAUACGGUAAUCUGGCAGCGAUUUUGAAAAAUUUAUUUCUCUCAAUUGGCUUACUGUUUUUACCUCAUUCCAGUGCCAUUAUUGAGUUGAGACAUUGAAGUUUCUGUGGUUAAUUUUUCACAUUUCAGUUCGCUUUCAAUCAGUACAGUUAAAUCUGUAAACAUAGCACAGUUUGCAUUUAAUUUUUUUUUCCAGUAGCUGUUUUCUGUUUUCUUCAAUCUACUCUAGCACUUUUCUUUAGGAAUCUUUUUGUGUGCCUUCUUUAUUCAUUGAGUUCCUUAUUU
rnacentral:lncRNA from 1 species